rnacentral:rRNA from 1 species
AUUGAACGCUGGCGGCAUGCCUUACACAUGCAAGUCGAACGGCAGCUCGUGUUUUUGCACCUGGUGGCGAGUGUCACACGUGUGAGUCUUACCUUGGGACAUGUCCUAUAGUUGGGGAUAGCUCCUCGUAAGCCGGAUUCUUACCGCCUACGAUCUACGGCUGACAGCGGGGGACCUUCCGUCCUCUCGCUUUGUUGUUGGCCGAUUGCUGAUUCGCUAGUUGGUGGGGUAAAGGCCUCCCAAGGCGACGCUCAGUAGCUGGUCUGAGAGGACGACCAGCGACACUGGGACUGAAAGACGGCCCAGACUCCUACGGGAGGAAGCAGUGGGGAAUUUUGGAAAAUGGGAGAAAGCCAGAUCCAGCAAUGCCGCGUGUGUGAAGAAGGCCUUCGGGUUGGAAAGCACUAUUGUCAGGAAAGAAAACCUUGGCCCUAAUAAGGACGAGGGAUGACGGUACCGGAAGAAUAAGCACCGGCUAACUACGUG